CCUACGGGCGGCAGCAGUGAGGAAUAUUGGUCAAUGGGCGCGAGUCUGAACCAGCCAAGUAGCGUGAAGGAUGACUGCCCUAUGGGUUGUAAACUUCUUUUAUAAGGGAAUAAACUGAGGCACGUGUGCCUUUUUGUAUGUACUUUAUGAUUAAGGAUCGGCUAACUCCGUGCCAGCAGCCGCGGUAAUACGGAGGAUCCGAGCGUUAUCCGGAUUUAUUGGGUUUAAAGGGAGCGUAGGUGGUUUGUUAAGUCAGUUGUGAAAGUUUGCGGCUCAACCGUAAAAUUGCAUUUGAUACUGGCAGCCUUGAGUACAGUAGAGGUAGGCGGAAUUCGUGGUGUAGCGGUGAAAUGCUUAGAUAUCACGAAGAACUCCGAUUGCGAAGGCAGCUUACUAAACUGCCACUGACAUUGAGGCUCGAAAGUGUGGGUAUCAAACAGGAUUAGAUACCCUAGUAGUC
rnacentral:rRNA from 1 species